CCCUUAGAUGUUCUGGGCCGCACGCGCGCUACACUGAUGCAUUCAGCGAGUCCAUCCUUGCCCGAAAGGGCUGGGUAAUCUUUUGAAAUUGCAUCGUGAUGGGGCUUGCGGGUUGCAACUACCCGCACCAACGAGGAAUUCCUAGUAAACGCAAGUCAACAACUUGCAUUGAUUACGUCCCUGCCCUUUGUACACACCGCCCGUCGCUACUACCGAUUGAACGGUUUAGUGAGGGCCUCGGAUUGGUCUCGGCCCGCUCUUUACCGGGCGGCGCCGUUGGUCGAGAAGACACUCGAACUUGAUCGUUUAGAGGAAGUAAAAGUCGUAACA
rnacentral:rRNA from 1 species